GGCAAGGGUGGUAUUUGGGAGCAGUAGCAAAUGUACCGAGAGGCGUGAUGGCUGCGUCCUUGAGGAGCCCGCCGUUAGCAGGGACGUCAUUCAUUCACCCAUUCAGCAGAUGGUUCUGGACGGUCUCCUAUGCUCUGUUCUGGGCGCUGGCGAUCCAUCAAAGAAGAAAACGGAGUCUCUGCCUUCUAGACAAGUCAGUGGACACCGUGACCCCAGAGGGAAGUGCUGUGAGAGAGGGAUGUGCACAGAGGAGUGUCCCCCUGACCGUCAGGAGGCGUCAGAAGAGGCUUCUCAGAGGGCAAGUCCAGCGGGGCCUGAGCUCAGGAGGUUACCAGUCAGAGCGCGGGGAGGAGCAUUCCGGGGCAUGGGCCCGGCCGUGGCACUGUGAGGACAUCGUCCAGUGGAUUUGAGCUGAGGGACUGCGGGGGCAGGGGAAGGGAGAGGAGGCAGGAAAGACAGGCUGGGCCCCGCCCACUUGUGAAAAGCUUGGACUUCAUCCUGGAGACAAAGGAGUCAAGUCGCAGAGUCGUCAGAAGAGAGGGACUUUCCGCCCUGAGGCCCGGUUCAGACUGCCCAGGGAGGGUCCCUCCCUCCCACUCUGUCCCUGCCUCUGCCCUGAGGCGGGGGGCUCUGGCUCCACAUCCCAGGCGUUGGUGCAGAUGCUGCCACUCCAUCCACCCUCUGGAAGAGGAGGCAGGGCCUGGCCCGGCUGCAGCCACGUUGGCAGGGUCACUGCCCCAGUCCCUGGCCUGUCGCUCUGGCUCACCCCCACCCGCUCACUGCCCGUCCUCUAGCCUCCUCCUCUUCUGCUUCCCGGUUCCCUGGGUGAACUCUUCCGGGUCAGGCUUCUCUCCGCAGGCCUCUGCUGCUCCCCAGGGAGGAAGACCAGGUGGUUGCCGGCCUCGCCUCCCUUCCCAGUUGUCGGGAGGAGCCAUGGAGAACACCAUGAAGACGAAGGGCGAACUGGACCUCACGUGCCCCGGACGCCUCUCGGCUGGACUCCUGGAUGGAGAAGCAGGCAAGCAGAGGCUCAGAGAGGUUAAGGGGCUUGCCCAAGGUCACACAGCCCAGGGAAAGGGCAGAGUGGAGCUGCACCCAGUUCCAUCCAUUUCAGUCUCCUCUCCUGCCAUUCUGCCUUUCUCAUCUUCAGCCUGACCCGAUCUGCAGACAAACAGUGAGUGAGAACAAAAGAAAACAAGUUAAAAACCAGAGGCUUUUGCAGAAAACUGUUGGAGGCUGGAGUGAGUGUAAAAAUAACCAGGUGUGUUCAAGGGAAACCUCGAGUCUCCAAACAAUAUGUUUUGUGCUAAGAUGAUUUUCGUAAUGAUGCAGGUUGCGGAGGGUCCGGCGGGGCCGGGCUCAGGGAGCGGAGGGCUGACGUUCUGAGCUCGAAGGCCGCACCGUCCAAAACGGCCGCCAGGAACCACACACGGCUCUUUAAGUUUAAUUAAAAUGAAAUAAAAUUAA
rnacentral:lncRNA from 1 species